rnacentral:rRNA from 1 species
UACGAAGGGAGCUAGCGUUGUUCGGAAUCACUGGGCGUAAAGCGCAUGUAGGCGGAUGUGUCAGUCAGGGGUGAAAUCCCGGAGCUCAACUUCGGAACUGCCUUUGAUACAGCACGUCUUGAGUCCGGAAGAGGUGGGUGGAAUUCCUAGUGUAGAGGUGAAAUUCGUAGAUAUUAGGAAGAACACCGGUGGCGAAGGCGGCCCACUGGUCCGGUACUGACGCUGAGGUGCGAAAGCGUGGGGAGCAAACAGG